rnacentral:rRNA from 1 species
GACGAACGCUGGCGGCGUGGAUUAGGCAUGCAAGUCGAACGGUAUCAUCCUUUCGGGGGUGAGAGAGUGGCGAACUGGUGAGUAACACGUAGGUUAUCUACCCUCAAGACGGGGACAACCCAGGGAAACUUGGGCUAAUACCGGAUGUGAGCAACUUUUAGUUGUUUGAAAGGUGGCGUAAGCUGUCGCUUGGGGAUGAGCCUGCGUCCUAUUAGUUAGUUGGUGAGGUAACGGCUCACCUAGGCAAUGAUAGGUAGGCGGCCUUAACGGGUGGUCGCCCACACUGGGAUUGAGAUACGGCCCAGACUCCUACGGGAGGCAGCAGUCGAGAAUAGUCUACAAUGGCCGGAAGGCUGAUAGUGCGACGCCGCGUGAACGAGGGAGCCCUUCGGGUGUAAAGUUCUUUCUUAUACGAGCAGUGCUAUAUAUAUGGAUAGUAUAUAUAGAGGGAUAGUAGUAUAGGAAUAAGACAACGGACUAACUCCGUG